rnacentral:lncRNA from 1 species
UGGACUCCUUGGAUCAAGCAAUCCUGCUGCCUCAGCCUCCCAAAGUGCUGGAUUACAAGCAUGAGCCACCGUGCCCAGCCUUAAGUUUUUUCAUACAGGAGGAAAGAAUUUGGGAAAAUAAACACAAUCUGGGAAACAUUUUAUAAUACAGAGGGCCACACCAGAUUGAAUAUUACCCCCAGGAAUGAAAUGAAAACAGGAAUGGAUUCUCCAGUAAGAGUUGUUUGAAUUGGUGGAUGCAGAACCCAUGAAUAUGGAGAGUCAAUUGCAUUUCAUUAUGCCCAAAGGUGAAGUCCAGGACCAUGUAGUUCUGACGUCCACUCUCUCGGGAGAUCACCAGUUCACCCAUCUCACCCGGCAGCCAGAAGGGGUUGUCUAGCCAGCACCUGGGCUUUGGCGCUCCUCAAGCAGGUGGAGGAAAUUUCAGACACCUGGCUCCUCAGGUGUCUGCCAUCCAGCUACUCUUCAGGCCUGCCCAGCAGAGCUCUCUUGAUCCAGCUAGAACUGGCCAGAACUGACUCACUCAGGAAUGUGUAGACUUUGGCAUCAUGGGCUGCUUUAAUUUGCACAAUUUCCAAAUACCUUUUUCUUCUUUUUCUGAUGAGUCAUCUCCCUAGACUUGCAUUUUAAAGAGAUAGAUAGUUAUCAGGUUCCAGAGAAGACGUGGUAGAACAUUUAUAUCUCAAAGACACAGAGCUGAGACUUCAGGUUUAGAUACUAUAAUUUGCCUAAACCAAAAAGGAAUGUGUAGGUAAAGUUCUAGUCAAGACAGGAUGGCCAGGAAAAACACCUUAAACCAAGGGAUGGCUUGCUUUGCUGAUUUAAGCCAAUGGCUUCUUUAUCAUAAGACUUCCCAGUGAUUUAGUCCUCCCUCUCUUCCAGUGCACAGAGACAUACCCCUCCUUACAAAUAAAAAUAUUCUUCAUAGAUGUAAACUUAUUUUACAAAAAUGUUUCAAAAUAACCAGAUGAAAAUCAUCCUUAUGCCAGAAAGACUUGUUUUUUUUUUUCAUUACUAGAAAUGAAACAGUAAGUAUUUGUUGUAUUGACAUACUUAGGCUUAGACCUAUGUUUAACAAGAAAGCCUAAUAAUAGCACUGUGGUUAGACUGUAGCCUCUUUUUCCAAACCAUCAUUUUAUUAUUAUGGAAAGAAAGGAUCAAAUACCUUUCAUUCAUCUCAUAUGAUCCUUUAAAAUACAUUCCACUAAUAAGUCCCAUUUGGAACAGCUGAAAAUCUUUUAAUAAGACUUUUUAAAGAUGAGCUCAUGGCUUAGUGUAAAUUUCAUAAGCUUAAUUAGGUCAAAUGGAAGGAACUCAGAUGAGUAGUUGCCCAAUCAGAGCCCAUUAUUUGUAAGUCAUCAGCCUCCUUCAUGACCUUAAAACUCCACUCUGACCUAAUUAUUGCAAACUUAUAUACAACAAAGUGAAAGGAUUAAUUUUCAUUCAUCAACCUCUCAAUCCCAGAUUUUCAAAGAAAAAACCUAUGUAAGGAAUACUUACCAAAACCAGACAGGAAAAUUAGAGCCUGCAUACUUAAGAGUCAAAUUUGUUCCACUACAGCCAGGUCACAUACAAUUACAUCAUUUGGUUCUUCAUACACUCUGGAACUGACCAGGACAGAGUUUAGCAUAGAAAAACUGUAAGAAAUAGGUUCCAAAACAUAGAAAUUGCAAAGUCCAAAAGGCUAUGAAAAAAACUAAUGUAAAUGAGAGACUCCCCUCCCUUUGUUUUAAAGAAAUAGACCCAUCAGAGAAAUGCAAAUCAAAACCACAAUGAGAUACCAUCUCACACCAGUUAGAAUGGUGAUCAUUAAAAAGUCAGGAAACAACAGGUGCUGGAGAGGAUGUGGAGAAAUAGGAACACUUUCACACUGUUGGUGGGGCUGUAAACUAGUUCAACCAUUGUGGAAGUCGGUGUGGCCAUUCCUCAGAGAUCUAGAACUAGAAAUACCAUUUGACCCAGCCAUCCAAGUACUGGGUAUAUACCCAAAGGAUUAUAAAUCAUGUUGCUAUAAAGACACAUGCACACGUAUGUUUAUUGCGGCA